rnacentral:rRNA from 1 species
AGUUCGAUCAUGGCUCAGAUUGAACGCUGGCGGGAUGCUUUACACAUGCAGUCGAACGGCACGGACUUUAUCUGGUGGCGAGUGGCGAACGGCAGUACCGUAUCGGAACGCCUAGUAGCGGGAUAACUACGCGAAAGCGUAGCUAAUACCGCAUACGCCCCCGGGGAAAGCGGGUCUCAGUCUCGCAAUUAGAGCGGCCGGAUAACGGAGUCACCAGCGCAGUUGUGGCAACGGUCACCACGAUCCGUUACCGAGAGGACGACCAGCCAGACUGAGACACGGCCCAGACUCUACGGAGGCAGCAGUGGGGAAUUUUGGACAAUGGGGGAAACUGAUCCGUUUUUCAUCCCGCGUGUGCGAUGAAGGCCUUCGGGUUGUAAAGCACUUUUGGCAGGAAAGAAACGUAAGCACGGAUAUCCGUGCAACUGACGGUACCUGCAGAAUAAGCACCGGCUAACUGCAUGCGCCAGCAGCCGCGGUAUUGACGUAGGGUGCAAGCGUUAAUCGGAAUUACCGGGCGUAAAGCGUGCGCAGGCGGUUCGGAAGAAAGACAGAACCUGUAUCAUCCGGAACUGCAUUUUUAACUGUCGAGCUAGAGUGUGUCAGAGGAGGUGGAAUUCCGCGUGUAGCAGUGAAAUGCGUAGAUAUGCGGAGGAACACCGAUGGCGAAGGCAGCCCCUGGGAUAACACUGACGUCAUGCACGAAGGCGUGGGGAGCAAACAGGAUUAGAUACCCCAGGGAAUCACGCCCAAACGAUGUCAACUAGCUUUUCGUUGGGGCUUUCGGGCCUUGGUAGCGCAGCUAACGCGUGAAGUUGACCGUCUGGGGAGUACGGUCGCAAGAUUAAAACCUCAAAGAACGACGGGACCGCACAAGCGGUGGAUGAUGUGGAUUACCCGAUGCAAACGCGAAACCUUUACCUACCCUUGAUACGUUCAACCCAGCAGAUUUUCAGAGUGUUUCGCAAGAGAACCGGAACACAGGUGUUGCACAUGUCGUCAGUCGUACGUGAGAUGUUGGGUUAAGUCCCGCAACGAGCGGCAACCCUUGCAUUUUCGUUAGUUGCUUACGAAAGGCACUCUCAUCGACUGCCGGUGACAAACCGAGAAGGGGAUGACGCUCGUCCUCGCAGUUCUUUAUGGGUAGGCAUUGCCACCGCCAUACAAUGGUCGGGACAGAGGUCGCCAACCCGCGAGGGGGAGCCAAUCCCAGAAACCCGAUCGUAGUCCGGAUCGCAGUCUGCAACUCGACUGCGUGAAGUCGGAAUCGCUAGUAAUCGCGGAUCAGCAUGUCGCGGUGAAUACGUUCCCGGGUCUUGUACACACCGCCCGUCACACCAUGGGAGUGGGUUUUACCAGAAGUAGCUAGCCUAACUGUAAGGAGGGCGAUUACCACGGUAGGAUUCGAUGACCGGGGUGAAGUCUUAACAAGGUAG